UCGAAGGGAUCGAGGCCCCAGAUGACCCUCCUCAGCCCUCCCCAAAGGAGAUUGAAAGUUAUGAGAAAAUUGGGGGGAAACUGGAAGAAGGUAAGUGGAAACUACCGGAUGGGAGAGAACUAGUCUCUAAAGGUUUUACCAGGAGAAUUUUGAGGAGACUGCACCAGUGAACACACUGGGGAGCUCAGGCCCUGGCUGAACAGUUUUUGAAAUUUUUCAGGUGCAGAGGAAUUUAGAAUUGGCCAAACGACAGGUACAAGGAUGCCUGAUCUGUCAGAAAAUUAACAAAACCAAGGCCAGACAAGCGAUCCUGGGGAGCUGCCCCAUUGCGUACCGACCUUUUGAGAGAAUUCAAGUUGAUUUUACUGAAUUGCCUAAAGUGGGAAGGUUCAAAUUUGUGCUUGUAAUAGUAGACAAAUUGACCCAUUGGGUGGAAGCUUUCCCCAGUCCAAGGGCAACAGCUCAGACUGUGUCCAGGAAAUUGCUGGAAGAAAUUGUGCCCCGAUACGGGGUGGUGAACUACAUUGACUCGGAUCAAGGGACUCAUUUUCCUAGAAAAUUAUUAAGCAGAUGGCAGAGGCACUAGGCAUUCGGUGGGAAUACCACACCCCGUGGCAUCCCCAGAGCUCGGGACAGGUUGAAAGGAUGAUUCAGACCUUGAAAGCGCAGUUGUCUGAAUUAAUUUUAGAAACCUGGAUGUCCUGGCUGAAAUCCCUCUCUCUGGCCUUGCUUAAUAUCAGGACGAUGCCUCAUCAAGAGACGGGGCUCUCACCCUUUGGGAUGCUAUAUGGGAUGCCAUACAAGCACGGGAUGCCGGUGGGACACCUCAGAUGGAAUGACAGCCAGAUUCAACCAUAUUUGGUAGCGAUAAACAGAAAUUUACAGGAACUGAGAAAACGGGAUACUAUCUCAGAGCACCCCUCUGGGAUUUGCUAUCCACAAAAUUCAACCGGGUGACAGAGUGUUUGUGAAAGUUUGGAAGGAGGUACUCCUCUCUCCUCACUGGGAAGGUCUCUUUCUUGUGCUCCUGACAACAGACACGGCCAUUCGGAUGGUGGAAAAAUGUUGGACACACACGUCCAGAGUGAAGAAGGUCAAACACCAGGAGGAAGCACCCGAGUGGAAGGUCACUUCUUCCCCAGGCGACCUGAAAAUCAAACUCCAACGUCCUCACAAAUGACCGAUGGGUAUGCAGAUAGCUAUAGUACCCGUGGACCUGCAGUUGGCUUCUGGAAACAACACAUCCAAGAUCAUGAGCCUGGGAGAGAGGAAAUGUGCAAGCAAUGCUGCUGAAGUCUUGGCAAAAUUUGAAAAAUGGGUCAAAAUGAAUGAGAACAAUUAUAUUGGUUUUCAGGGAAUCCCACAAGGAGAACAUGGAAUAAGAAUUUAAUAAAGUUUUCUCUUUGUAGGAGACCCUUAAAGGUGGAGGGUAGAAGUAGGAAAUAAAUUGAUAUUAGUAAUUUUGGGAUGUAGAGGGAGCAUGAAUUAAUGUGGUGAUAUUAAAGGAGAGGGAUCGUAAUAUAUGUUAGAAAUAAUUCAUGCUAUCAAAGAAUGUAUUUUUUAAAGAUUGCGAAACCCAAACGAGUCUCUGACCACAAGCAGCCCGAGAGGCGGAUGUCUAUUCAAACUCCAAAAUUCCUGGAGUCGGCCAGAGAACAAUCGGCACUUUAGCCCAAGAAUAGACACACCCAAUGCGAUGAUCACCGGUAUCUCAAGUCAUCGGAAACCGCCUAAGAGCGAUCAUCGCCCUGUGGAUAACAUCAAUCAAGAUAGCCAAAGUCGUCAGGAAGAUACAUUUGAAUACAUGACUUCCUGAGAUUCGAUCAAUGCUGGCUAUCAAUCAGGAGACGGCCUUUGUCCAGCUCUGCACAGUGAAAGAACCUGUGGGGGCCUGAAUAUAUGUAUUGUUAUAACAGCAAUAAGAAUACAACAACUGAAAUGUAGUGAGAGUCCUAUGUAUUAGAUAAGUGGGUCCUAGUUACUCCAAAUGAGCUACAGCUGCGAAGUCCUUUGUUGGGCAGCAGCUGUAGCUUGUGAAGGUAACUGGAAUAAAAAGGGGUGGGUCGAGAGCCCAGGAGGAGCCCCUGAGAAGCUAUGAAGGACUGUGCUACAGAGAAGAACAGCUUGGUAGAAAACCAGCGAAACAACAGUAUGGGUGGGACUUGAGAAAUAUGAAAUAAUAACAAGAUAACAACAAGAACCAACUAUGAAUGUGAAGAGUUACAAAAGAAAUUGGGACUCCUUCGCCUCGAGCACAAUAAACUGUAUAAAACCUUGUUGCUAGAA